AGCGAACGCUGGCGGCAGGCCUAACACAUGCAAGUCGAACGAACUCUUCGGAGUUAGUGGCGGACGGGUGAGUAACACGUGGGAACGUGCCUUUUGGUUCGGAAUAACUCAGGGAAACUUGUGCUAAUACCGAAUGUGCCCUUCGGGGGAAAGAUUUAUCGCCAUUAGAGCGGCCCGCGUCUGAUUAGCUAGUUGGUGAGGUAACGGCUCACCAAGGCGACGAUCAGUAGCUGGUCUGAGAGGAUGACCAGCCACACUGGGACUGAGACACGGCCCAGACUCCUACGGGAGGCAGCAGUGGGGAAUCUUGCGCAAUGGGCGAAAGCCUGACGCAGCCAUGCCGCGUGAAUGAUGAAGGUCUUAGGAUUGUAAAAUUCUUUCACCGGGGACGAUAAUGACGGUACCCGGAGAAGAAGCCCCGGCUGACUUCGUG
rnacentral:rRNA from 1 species